UCCACCGGUAAAAACCCUAAAAAAAAUCACCUCCUCAUCUCCUGAAAAACAAAUCCACCGGUAAAAACCCUGAAAAAAUCACCUCCUAAUCCCACCAUUUUAUCGUCUCCUCGCCCCUCCAUCCACCCAUUCUCAGCCUUUCACUCUCAUUUUCACUUCUCACCCAAAAAUACAGAGGAGUGAAAAACCCUCAAACAACCGCUAGAGAGAGGAACGAUUAGCAGAGAGGAUCUUGGAAUUUGGGGAUUUUGCUCCGAGUGAUUAACGCUUUGAAGGGGGUUUUGCAAUUUGAGGUUUUUUUCUCUGAGUGAUUUACGCUUUGGAGGGGGUUUUGCAAUUUGGGGUUUUUUCUCCGAGUGAUUAACGCUUUGGAGGGGGUUUUGCAACUUUCUGUGAGAUGCAACGACAGAGGUAGUAGGUGGCGGACACAACACAGAGAAAUCCAAGAAAGAAAAAUCCCGCUGAUUUGGCCGAUGGCUGUCCAGUUUAAAUACGGCAGUUAAAUAUUGAUUGACAAGGCGAAUUUUGGAGUCGGCAAUUGGCAUGGCUUCCAAAGAUAAGAGUGUUGUUCUAGGAGCAAAGGAUUUGCUUAAGCGAUCAAAUAGCAUUGAUUAUUUACACAGCUGAAGCACGAAAGGCAGGAUAGAGCAAGGUUUCAAGUCAAGAGUUAUGCUGAGAAUGAAUCUGCUCGUGUGGUAGACACUGUGCUCUUCCGUGCUUGGACUCAGGUCGAAGUUUGUCGCUUUUACCAUCCUCUGACAACAACAUUGCAUCCACUCGAUAGGACUUGGCAAGGAAUGAAAACACUUGCUGAACUAAGGAUGAAGAAAACCUUCCAAACAAGGAUUCACUUUACACGAUGAUACAAAACCAUAACAAAGUAACUGUUACUGAUGUUAAGAGACCCUAAUUUGAAGAUGUUAAAAAGAUUGUGCCACUUCUGGAGAGUUCAUGGCCUCUACCACUCUGGGGCAUGUGAGUCGGCUGCUUUUGUAACUCAUAAUUGGAAUGACAUGUAGAGAGGUUUUGGAUAAUUUUGCAGUCUGUUUUACCAGCAUAAAGACAAAAGGUAACGUGCCUUGUGGCAUUGAUGGUCUAUUUCUGCAUUGUGGUAUGUGAAACUAUUUGUGUACAACACCUUGCUGCCAGACUUUCUGAAUUUGUUCAGGUGUUGAAACUCUAUUGUUGCUCUCCAUUCUUCAGCUUUUUGGUGCUUAGGUUACACAUUCAACUAAAAUACAACCCUGUAAGAGUCCUAGGUUGUUCCAAAAAGAGUCCUAGAAUGUAAGAUGAUGAUUGCUAGGUUGCUCAAAAAAAAAUGACUCACGUUUUCCUCCUUUUCCCCCAUACAUUGUUAAGCUAUUAAAUUUAUUACUCUAUUCUAUCUUUUUAGAUUAUGAUUUUUCAAUAUUUUCAUUCUGUUAGAUGCAUUAUUAAUUAAAUUACAUGUUACUUGGCAAUCUUAUUUUAUAGAACGAAUCUGCUCGUGUGGUAGACACUGUGCUCUUGCGUGCUUGGACUCAGGUCGAGUUUGUUGCUUUUUACCAUCCUGUGGCAACGACAUUGCAACCACUAGAUAGGACUUGGCAGCAAUGAAAACACUUGCUGAUAUAAGGAUUGAAAAAACCUUCCAGUGCCAGUCAAUAAGGAUUCAGUUUACUUAUAACUCCUUUUCUUUCCUACUCCAACCUUAAGAAAGAAAUGGAAAUGGAUUAAUAAACAAAUUGAGGGGUACUUCUAAAUUCUAAUAAAGGAAGAUUGAUAACUUUUUAUGGGUGAUUUUAUAAUAUUUUUUGUUAUUUAUUGAAGUUUUAACUUUACUAUUUUAUGUUUGUGAUAAAUGUGAUAAAUGUAGACUAAUAGGAUAAAAAGAUAUUUAGUAUUAAUCACCUCUUUAAUAAGUUUCUAAUCCGUCUUUUCGUUAAAAACUACUAGAAUUAUAUUUAGGUACUACUAUCCUUUUAUAAUUAAUUCUCAUUUAUUAAUAAAAAUAGUCCU